rnacentral:rRNA from 1 species
GACGAACGCUGGCGGCGUGCUUAACACAUGCAAGUCGAACGGAAAGGCCUUUUCGGCGGUACUCGAGUGGCGAACGGGUGAGUAACACGUGGGUGAUCUGCCCUGCACUCUGGGAUAAGCCUGGGAAACUGGGUCUAAUACCGGAUAGGACCGCACUUUAGUGUGUGUGGUGGAAAGUUUUUUCGGUGUAGGAUGAGCCCGCGGCCUAUCAGCUUGUUGGUGGGGUAAUGGCCUACCAAGGCGGCGACGGGUAGCCGGACUGAGAGGUUGGUCGGCCACAUUGGGACUGAGAUACGGCCCAGACUCCUACGGGAGGCAGCAGUGGGGAAUAGUGCACAAUGGGCGCAAGCCUGAUGCAGCGACGCCGCGUGGGGGAUGACGGCCUUCGGGUUGUAAACUCCUUUCGCCAGGGACGAAGCGUUUUGUGACGGUACCUGGAGAAGAAGCACCGGCUAACUACGUG